UGACCUCGAAUCAGGUAGGGAUACCCGCUGAACUUAAGCAUAUCAAUAAGCGGAGGAAAGAGAAACCAACAGGGAUUACCUCAGUAACGGCGAGUGAAGCGGUAACAGCUCAAAUUUGAAAUCUGGUCCGGUUACGGGCCCGAGUUGUAAUUUGUAGAAGAUGCUUUGGUAAUGAGUCCGGCCUAAGUUCCUUGGAACAGGACGUCAUAGAGGGUGAGAACCCCGUAUGCGGCCGAGUACUCAGUGCCAUGUAAAGCUCUUUCGACGAGUCGAGUUGUUUGGGAAUGCAGCUCAAAAUGGGUGGUAAAUUUCAUCUAAAGCUAAAUAUUGGCCAGAGACCGAUAGCGCACAAGUAGAGUGAUCGAAAGAUGAA
rnacentral:ncRNA from 1 species